rnacentral:lncRNA from 1 species
UGACAAAACCUAGUUCGAUCAACAAACCUACGCCUGUUAGGUCAGCUGCUUCCGUAGAUAACGCCUAUUUUACCAGAUGCUACCGAAAUAAAGCAAGAGGAUGUACCUCGAAUCCAACCUCAACCAUCACCACCAAUAGACAUGCUCAAUUUAAACCAGCUCCAACCCCAGCUGCCGGUGCAAGAUCCACAAGCCACAACGAGUGAAGCUAGUUUCGAUUUGCUUAGAGCAUUCGGGGAUGAUAAUUCACCUGGCAUUGGCUCGGCUCCAAUACCUGAUAUUUUAGAAAUUAAUGUACAACCAACUUCAAAUGCCAACCUUGAUGAUAUCUUCGGCUCAGUUGCUUCAUCGGCGCCGAAAAUCAACCUGGAGUUUAAUAGCUUUUCUGUAAACCAGCCGACACCAACUAGUGCAAACCAACCUGGUGUAUUGGUGUGUGUCGCGUCAGUCUCAGCAAAAUAGUCUUACAUCAACAACCAGAGCUCAGUACGUCAUAGUUAUUUUUCUUCUCUGUUUUUGGAAGCUAGUGCAAUGAGGUAUAGUUUUAAUAAACAUUUAUUCGAUUUGAAAUUUUUA